GAUGAACGCUGGCGGCGUGCCUAAUACAUGCAAGUCGAACGCUUCACUUCGGUGAAGAGUGGCGAACGGGUGAGUAAUACAUAAGUAACCUGGCAUCUACAGGGGGAUAACUGAUGGAAACGUCAGCUAAGACCGCAUAGGUGUAGAGAUCGCAUGAACUCUAUAUGAAAAGUGCUACGGGACUGGUAGAUGAUGGACUUAUGGCGCAUUAGCUUGUUGGUAGGGUAACGGCCUACCAAGGCGACGAUGCGUAGCCGACCUGAGAGGGUGACCGGCCACACUGGGACUGAGACACGGCCCAGACUCCUACGGGAGGCAGCAGUAGGGAAUUUUCGGCAAUGGGGGAAACCCUGACCGAGCAACGCCGCGUGAAGGAAGAAGUAAUUCGUUAUGUAAACUUCUGUCAUAGAGGAAGAACGGUGGAUAUAGGGAAUGAUAUCCAAGUGACGGUACUAUAUAAGAAAGCCACGGCUAACUACGUG
rnacentral:rRNA from 1 species